CUUCAAUAGCCUAUGGAAUCCUUUGUC
rnacentral:piRNA from 1 species